rnacentral:rRNA from 1 species
CCCUUAGAUGUUCUGGGCCGCACGCGCGCUACACUGACGAAUGCAACGAGCUUAUAACCUUGUCCGAAAGGUCUGGGUAAUCUCCAAAUUUCGUCGUGAUGGGGAUAGAUUAUUGCAAUUAUUAAUCUUCAACGAGGAAUGCCUAGUAAGCGCAAGUCAUCAGCUUGCGUUGAUUACGUCCCUGCCCUUUGUACACACCGCCCGUCGCUCCUACCGAUUGAAUGGUCCGGUGAAGCGUUCGGACCGUGGCCUUUGGACGGUUCGCCGUCUGUUGGCUGCGGGAAGUUCGUUAAACCUUAUCAUUUAGAGGAAGGAGAANUCGUANCA